AGCUUCAGAGUGAUGGGGGUGUUGUUUCUGUAUGUGCUUCAGCCUCAAUGUCUGCCCAAUGCCCAGCCUGGCUCAGCAGUGAGCUCUGGGCAGGGUUUGAGCACGGAGCUGUGGGUGCCUGGAUGAGCUGUGAGGCACAACAUGAGCAAAGCCAUAGCAAAGAGCACUGCGAGCAGAGGAGUACAUUGGACUGAGAGUACCCACCUCUGCCGGGAUCCACACAACUUCAUCUCUCCAAGCAGCACAGCCCCCAGUGUUGGACGGAUGGCCCCAAAACCUCUGAGGUGGUGGCACAGAUCCAUCAGCAUGUGGAACACAGGACCGCAGCGUGGGCUGGCAGCGCCAGGAUUGCACUCCGUGAGCAGCAGUGAUUAUUUCGGAUUUCUGCUAUGUGAGUUAUGUUCCUCUUUCCCAAUAUGCAUUUUUUGGCAUCAGGAAAACAAGAAAACGGCCUUGGAAAAUAUGAACAGGAUGGAAACUGGGAUC
rnacentral:lncRNA from 7 species